UUCUCUUCCUUCUCCGAACAUUCACCACUCACCACCACCACUACCACGGUUCUGUCUCCACUCUCCAUCUCUCCGGCACUACCACAGCGAUCACCAACACAAUCACGAUCAAAUAAUUUGGGUAUUAUCAACAACACGACGGAAUUGAUAUUAUUAGGGUAUUGAUAAUUAAUUUUUUUUUUUUGCUGAGAUUAAAUCUAUUGAUGGGUAUUUUUUGCAAGAACAGUCGGCGAAGAACGUGAAUCUGUUAUGGGUUUUAUGCAAGAGAUCACUUGGAGAAGCGAUGCGGGUAUUUGAUGAUUUGUAACAUUUUCUCUCUGUGAUUUCAGAUUCUUUCAAUUGUAAUAGAUCUAAAUUUUGGGAUAAAUUUUUGGGUUUUAUCAGAUUUUCUAUGAUGUGGGACUUACAGCAAAAAUUAUACUUUUAGAGUAAGAUUUCAGAAAGAAAUUUGCCAAUUCCCGGAUGAAGAUGAAGAUGUACCAUUAUUAGGUUAAAAAUUUGGUUAAUUUGGGGCUGUUUUUUUUCCUGAGGUAUUAAAUUUGCCCAAAUUUGUGGCGCUGAUUUGAGAUAAUCGUUGAAUUUGAUGGUUUGCUAUUAAUGGGAGAUUUGGGUUUUGAUUGAAAUGGAUUUUAACACAGCAGUGGUGUUGUUGCCACUGAUCAAUGGAAGGUGUUGUGUUGUAUCUCGGUCAUAGAUGGGGGAACUGCACAAUUGUUGGAGAACGAGUAAAUGGCAGUGAUGAUAACUGAGAAGGGAAGAAGACGGGUAUCAACAAUGGUGGAUGAUGGUGACUACUUGGGUCAAUGGGAAGAACUCGUGUGUGGUGUUGAUGAAGAGGCAGAGCUCGUGGAGAACAGAGUAGUAUAUAAUGGUUUUGGCUCGAGUCUUGGUGAACCGAUGAUGAUGUUGUUUCAUGGUUGGAGUUUGCUAAUGAAGGAAAAGAGAUCGAGUCGAGUAACAGAGUCGAGAACGAAUCCAUCAUGAUAAGGAGGAGCUGGGUCAUUGAUGGAAGACGGUAGAGACUAGAGAUGGCAAGUAUCAUAGUUUCCAGUAACCGAUGGAUCGUGGGUAUACCUGUAAACUCAUAAUUUCACAGUACUUUUAAUCAUAUUAAGCUAUAAAAAACCAGGGUGAUACUCUUUGAGUUACACAAACACCAACCAUAUGCAUAUAAGUUUUUCUUCUUCUCUCUUAAUUCAUUUCCUUUUCCUCCUUCCCUAACAACACCACCAUCUCCAAUAGCUGCACCACCAUAAACCACCACCAGUUUCAGAUCUAAUACCAACCUUCUUUUUUCUGCUACUACCAUUUACAUCGCCACCAACAAUACCUCCGCGACCACCAACCAGUUACGACGUUCAGAUCUGACAUCAACACCAGAUCUUCUCAAUCCCAUCCUCCUCCCUCUUCACCACCAGCAGCAACACCUUCUCCUUCUUCUUCUGUACCUCUAGCAAAUCCACACCUUCUUCUCCUUGUUUUCUUCUUCCCCCAAUCCCACCAGCAACACCUCCUCUUCUUCCUCUUUUUCCUCUACCACCACAAGCAAUAAGUUGAAUUGAUUGAUAGUAAUACGAUUGAAUCUGAGAGUGAGCCGAAAUGAUUCAUGUAUUUGAGUAUUAUUACAAACUCAAUUAGCGAAACCAAGGUGGUGAUGGUGGCGAAUUGAUCUUAUGGUGGAAAUGAACCAUUGACGGAGAUUCAAUUUCAUCUGCUGGUGUUUGUCUUGGGAGAAAGAUGAAUUUUAAGGGUAAUUUGAAGUUGGUUCUGGUCAGUCUAUAAAGUAAGUAACUACUUGGAAGAGAAGAAGGUGAAACUCCGCGAGUUCACAUUCGACAUCCAGUAUGUACUUGAAAUUUUGAAGGGAUGAUUGGAUACAUAAUGGAUAAAUGGGUCGUGGAGUCAGUUAUGGAGGAGGUGAGAGUUUUUAGGAUAUCUCUUUGCUGCUCCUGAGGAACCAAAACCAUCCGCACCUGUUGCACUUGAUGCUGCUUCAACUGCUUCUGCUACUCAGACCCCCCAGUUCAAAAUGUACCUGCAGUUAACAAGUCUCCCCCUUCUCCCCCAGUGUAUAAAGAUAAGUUGGGUCCAUUAGGAGUAGUGCAAGGUCCUCUAGCCAAUAAAUACUAUCGCACUAAUGGCCAAAACACUGGCAAAUUCAUCACUAUGAGUUUUUAACUAAGAUCUGCACAAUUUUAUCCAUCUUGUCUCAUUCUUAGACUAUGACUGAUAUAUAUGCGAAACAACACAUUUAUGCACUGACCUUAUUGUACAGUCUUGGAUGAGCCGUUCAAGUUUCAUUGUUAACCGAUGCUUUGCCUAGCUCCGAUAUAUUUUUAUCUUGUAUACUUUUGUUAUGCUGCAUCUGCAUAUCUGCAAUUUUGUGUC